ensembl:lncRNA
GUUAAAACACACACAAUUAAUUAUUUUAAUUAAUAUAUUUAAUAUUAAUUAUUAUAAAAAAAUAUUUUCAGUAUAAAUUUCAAUGCAAACAUUAUAUUUUUAAACUAGUGCAGUAAAGGCAGCGCCACACAUCUGCUGUUUCUGCAGGUAGUGGAGUAUUGUCUAUGUCUCUCUGUGUUUCUAAAGGCCUCUAUAUAACCGGAUGGCAUUUGCAUAUGCAGAACGUUCCAUGCCUCCGCUCGUUGCCGCGGUUUGCCGACACAUAGGAGAAUCCACCCUUGCUCCCACCCCCUUCAUUAAUAUGUAUGUGUUCUGAACGGUGCGUGGUUGCUGAUUAAUGCUGUCUGUCAAUUUCUUACAGAUCCGACAGUGCUGUGGAAGUUCCCUCAGGACUUUGGAGACCAGUGUGAUGUUGCUGAUAAUGAAAUGCAGUGAGCAGGUCUUCAAUAAGCGUUGUUCUGGUAAUUAUCAGCUGGCUGUGAUGUGAAUGGGUGCGGAUGGAGCUUCAUCGUACACCCACUGCUGUACCUCACACCAGUACAGCUGUGUGUCGCUCAUGAGCUGGUACUAUAUCACACUAGUAAUGCAUAAUAGAGAGUAAUAUACCAGCCUAAACAGUCAAUAUUUGGCUGUUUUGAGAUGAUCACUUCACAUUCUACCUUGUGUCUACACCAAAAUGUAGUUUUUAAAUGUUUUUUUUUUUUUAGAUAUUAAUUAAAAAAAAAAUUAUUUAGAAUUUUUUUUAAAAAUAAUUUAGUGAUAUUAAUAUUUUGUCUAAAGGUAUUUUUUUAUUUUAUUUUAAAAUAAAUGUAUUAAAAAUCGAACA